rnacentral:SRP_RNA from 1 species
AGGCUGGCCUGCGGACGAGUCCCUCGCCAACCCGGUCAGAUCCGGAAGGAAGCAGCCGUAACGAGACAGGUUCGGGUCGCGUGUCCAGUCUUCC